rnacentral:tRNA from 1 species
GCCCGGAUGGUGAAAUAGGUAGACACGAGAGACUUAAAAUCUCUUGACCUUACGGUCGUGCCGGUUCGAUUCCGGCUCCGGGCACCA